CUACAACAAUUUCGUACUAUAAUUGACAGAUAUGGAUCGGAGUUGGAUGUAUGAAAAACGCACUACAUUCAAAUAUAUACAAGGGGUUCAAGAGUUUAUAGAAUGUGCUGAA